rnacentral:rRNA from 1 species
AUGGUGGGAAACAAUAACUGCAUCAAGAGCUACCUCGACACCGGCAAUCACAUCGCGGCGAUCGCCCCUCACUGCUUCUCCUCAAUCAUGUCCACUUCUCCCUGCUACUCCGUCGAGGAGGUCAUCACUGUCUACGAAGAUACCGACCUCUUCAAGUCAUUGCUCCGGGGGGUGAACGUGGUGUACAGGACAAGGAACUUGAGGAGCAGCGGGCCAGGAGGAAGUAUAGAUGGAACCUCUAUGGCGCAUGUUUGCCGACUUAAUUCAAGAUAUCCUGCUGGACUAACAUCAUGCAUCCAGAAUGUCAAAAGGCUUUUGGCAGAUUCCAAGGAAGAACAAAAUCCAUACGAUUCACGCCUUUGGUUCCCUCGAAUGAAGUAUUAA